rnacentral:rRNA from 1 species
UACGUAGGGUGCGAGCGUUGUCCGGAAUUAUUGGGCGUAAAGAGCUUGUAGGCGGUUUGUCGCGUCUGCUGUGAAAUCCGGGGCUCAACCCCGGACUUGCAGUGGGUACGGGCAGACUAGAGUGUGGUAGGGGAGACUGGAAUUCCUGGUGUAGCGGUGAAAUGCGCAGAUAUCAGGAGGAACACCGGUGGCGAAGGCAGGUCUCUGGGCAUUAACUGACGCUGAGGAGCGAAAGCGUGGGGAGCGAACAGGAUAGA